GAUGAACGCUGACAGAAUGCUUAACACAUGCAAGUCUUUGGUAAAGCUGUGCUUGCACAGCCUAGCCAAGGCGGACGGGUGAGUAACGCGUAAGGAACUUGCCCUGCAGUCAGGGAUAACAGACGGAAACGACUGAUAAGACCUGGUAAAGUCAGGCGGACUCAUGUCCAGCCUGAUGAAAAGAGAUGCUGCAGGAGAGCCUUGCGUCCUAUUAGCUUGUUGGUGGGGUAACGGCCCACCAAGGCAAUGAUAGGUAGCCGGCCUGAGAGGGUGGACGGCCACAAGGGGACUGAGAUACGGCCCUUACUCCUACGGGAGGCAGCAGUGGGGAAUAUUGGACAAUGGGGGCAACCCUGAUCCAGCAAUUCUGUGUGCACGAUGAAGGUUUUCGGAUUGUAAAGUGCUUUCAGCAGGGAAGAAAAAAAGGACGGUACCUGCAGAAGAAGCGACGGCUAAAUACGU
rnacentral:rRNA from 1 species